rnacentral:lncRNA from 1 species
UGGGCAAAAUCAAGACGCAAAACAGGGAACAGUACAGAGGACAUCAAGAAGGUGACAGGGACUAAACAGACAGAAAACAAGGACUCUCAAUGAAAGAAACAGAAUUACACAGUUCUCAAGAAAUCUGGACAGUGAAAGGAAGUGGACAGUAUCCAACACAAAAUCAAAGAAAACAGAUAUUCAUGAAAUCAUCCAAGCAGUUCAAAGCAUGACAAAACGAUCAAUCAGCUUAAGAGGUGAAUCAUGUUGGUAUCGUAGGGGUUAAUUUUAAAAAAGUGUUUAGCGCAGCGGAUUAAAAUACACAGAGCGUACAGCGUAACAAGUCACAGUUGAAACAAUUUUUCCCUUUUUAAUUUUAAACAAUUUUCUUUCAGAAAAUUUACCAAGCAGAUAACGUGCGUUAAUUAUAAAAUGAGUAUAGGGCAAAAGAAAAUCACACAGGGAUUUUUAUACUGGUUCGAUUCAAUAGAAUCUACGUCCAAUCGUUAAUCACUACAAAGAGUGAUUAACAGUUCCACUAAAAAAUUGUUUAACAGAUUACAAGAUAAAAACAGUAAUAGAAUGAAAGAGAUAACUCUACCAACUUGAAGAGAACCUGCACUGGCAAUCGACACACGAUUCACGUGCUUCUCCUUUCACAAGAUCAGGUAGAGAACCCUGCCAACUUGAAGAGAGUCCACUUCUUG